rnacentral:rRNA from 1 species
GAACGCUGGCGGCGUGCUUAACACCUGCAAGUCGAACGGAAAGGCCCUGCUUUUGUGGGGUGCUCGAGUGGCGAACGGGUGAGUAACACGUGAGUAACCUGCCCUUGACUUUGGGAUAACUUCAGGAAACUGGGGCUAAUACCGGAUAGGAGCUCCUGCUGCAUGGUGGGGGUUGGAAAGUUUCGGCGGUUGGGGAUGGACUCGCGGCUUAUCAGCUUGUUGGUGGGGUAGUGGCUUACCAAGGCUUUGACGGGUAGCCGGCCUGAGAGGGUGACCGGCCACAUUGGGACUGAGAUACGGCCCAGACUCCUAUGGGAGGCAGCAGUGGGGAAUAUUGCACAAUGGGCGGAAGCCUGAUGCAGCAACGCCGCGUGCGGGAUGACGGCCUUCGGGUUGUAAACCGCUUUCGCCUGUGACGAAGCGUGAGUGACGGUAAUGGGUAAAGAAGCACCGGCUAACUACGUG